rnacentral:rRNA from 1 species
CAGCACCUCAAGUGGUCAGGAUGAUUAUUGGGCCUAAAGCAUCCGUAGCCGGCGCUGUAAGUUUUCGGUUAAAUCUGUACGCUCAACGUACAGGCUGCCGGGAAUACUGCAGCGCUAGGGAGUGGGAGAGGUAGACGGUACUCGGUAGGAAGGGGUAAAAUCCUUUGAUCUAUUGAUGACCACCCGUGGCGAAGGCGGUCUACCAGAACACGUCCGACGGUGAGGGAUGAAAGCUGGGGGAGCAAACCGGAUUAGAGACCCGUGUAGUCC